GUGCUCAUUUCGGUAGCACAUAUGCUAAAAUUGGAAUGAUAGAAGGUUAGCAUGGUCCCUGUGCAGGGAUGACAUGCAAAUUUGUGAAGCAUUCCAUAUUUUU
ensembl:snRNA U6 U6 spliceosomal RNA